GCCCAUUCGGGGUGGAUUAGUGGCGAACGGGUGAGUAACACGUGGGCAAUCUGCCCUGCACUCUGGGACAAGCCCUGGAAACGGGGUCUAAUACCGGAUAUGACUGUCCACCGCAUGGUGGAUGGUGUAAAGCUCCGGCGGUGCAGGAUGAGCCCGCGGCCUAUCAGCUUGUUGGUGAGGUAGUGGCUCACCAAGGCGACGACGGGUAGCCGGCCUGAGAGGGCGACCGGCCACACUGGGACUGAGACACGGCCCAGACUCCUACGGGAGGCAGCAGUGGGGAAUAUUGCACAAUGGGCGAAAGCCUGAUGCAGCGACGCCGCGUGAGGGAUGACGGCCUUCGGGUUGUAAACCUCUUUCAGCAGGGAAGAAGCGAAAGUGACGGUACCUGCAGAAGAAGCGCCGGCUAACUACGUGCCAGCAGCCGCGGUAAUACGUAGGGCGCAAGCGUUGUCCGGAAUUAUUGGGCGUAAAGAGCUCGUAGGCGGCUUGUCACGUCGGUUGUGAAAGCCCGGGGCUUAACCCCGGGUCUGCAGUCGAUACGGGCAGGCUAGAGUUCGGUAGGGGAGAUCGGAAUUCCUGGUGUAGCGGUGAAAUGCGCAGAUAUCAGGAGGAACACCGGUGGCGAAGGCGGAUCUCUGGGCCGAUACUGACGCUGA
rnacentral:rRNA from 1 species